rnacentral:misc_RNA from 1 species
AACACUGUUAACCUGCGGUACCUGCGGAGGGAUCAUUUAAGGUCAUUUGAUAAACUUGUGGGGGCGGAUUGUCUCCACGAGCGGUAACAAAAAAACAAACACGAGGGCACAUGCGGUCAUGUCAUGUCAUGUCAUGUCAUGCAUGCAGACACGCAGGCACGCAGAGACACGCAGUGUGUUUAUGAACAUGUCCAGAUAUCAUAAAAUGUCAAGGAUACUGAAAACUUUUAACAAUGGAUC